GGCCGUGCUCUACGUGUGAGCCCUGCCGGGCCCGAACCCGCUGCUGCGGGCUCUGCCGCUGUCACUGCGGCAACAGAGGUGCCGCGGGCGAUGUUUUCUCUAUAAGCAAAGCAAAGGGUGUGGAUCGAGAGCUGGAAAAGCACCAUCAAAGCGGCUCCUUCCUACGUCUGAGCGCCGAUCCGGUCACAGUUAAUCGGCGAACGUCACGACGGCUCUCUGAACAAAACGCCCUUCAGGGAAUCGCCAGAACCGGAGCGAUGACCGCCUGCAGUGACAUCGAUGGGGGGCGGAUUUGGUGCCCCGAGACGUGUGCGAGUAAGAGCUCAGCCCCGCGCUGAUGGAAACGCGCUCACAGCCCGGUACGGUUUCACCGGUUUACAAACGCCGUCCAUUAAAACACGAUUAUUACCAAACGGCUUCUUUCUAUGCGAGAUCCUCAAAUCCGUUGUUUACAUUGCACCUAUAUUAACAAACCACAAAAUAAGCCCGUAGCGUUUUUAAGAGAGGUUUUAGGCUGGGAACGUGGAAACUUGCCUGGACGAAACGACACGGAAGCUGAAUGAAGGCGAGGAGAUUAUCUGUGUCUGAAGGUUGGGCAUUAGCCGCAAUGAAAAGAUUGAUUUUUCCGAUGCUUUUUUUCCCCCCAGACGGUUAUUUCCAAGGCUGCUGGCAGUGUAAGCUCACUCUCUGAGCAGAUACUGAAGCCCGUGUGUUGUAUGUAAGGGUGCUAUUCAAGGAGGAGGCGCUCAGUGCCGCAGAGUGCCUGCUGGCUUCGGGUGCACGUGUUCUUACAGCAUCACUCGCACUCGAAAAAUACUUGUUAUUCAUGCUCAGAAGUUACUCGAGCAUGACUUGCAGUGGAAAAUUGUGCAAAAAUAAUGUUUCUUUGCGAUAACUGAUCCCAGUCUGGUGUUUCAUAGCUGAUAGCCUGGAAACUUGCCUGUGCAGAGUCCCUCCCCGUCAGAGAUGUUCCACGAGGCUGAAGGAAACAGAGCGGUGAGGAGAAGAGGCAGAUGUGCAGGGGUUGUUCACAUGCUGAAAGCUUUGAGUCACAGCAGCUCUGACGCUUUUCUGAAGAAAUAGUUCUGCAAUCAUUACAGUUGCCACCCAAACCCUACCCUGGGUGUUCUAUGGCUUACAGCAACCUCCAAACUCGCACUGCGUGUAGUGUGAAUGCUGUGUCAGGUAAGCGUGUGUAAGUCAUCCUACAGCAGCCGGUCUGGCAAAACACGUCUGAUUUGGCGGUCAAGGAGGUGAGUCCCAAAACCCAGCAAGGUCUGUAAAAGAGGAGCUGGCUGUUCCGUUUGGGCUAACGGGCAUUUUCCUUACCUACAGCCCAGCUGACUGCCAGCUCCCGGCUCAUCCCCCGAUUAGGCGCUGAUGGGCGUUUUCUGAGCUAUUUACUAAGAGCUGAACAUAAACCACAAGUGCUUUUGAAUGCUGACCUCUCAUUUAUGUUACUUUCCGAACUGAAUAGCAUCUUAUGCGCAUUAAAAUAGUUUUUAAUAGAUGCUUGAACGAUAAUCAUGUAUGCAUCUUGUUCUCUUCUCCUUUUUGUCAACGCGAAAGCCGGGCUGUUGGAUGCUCCCAUUUGUUGGCCAGGAGUUCUCCUCAGGGCUGCUGGGCCCCAGCAGAGUGCUGGGCUGUGCAUCGGACCCCAGAGAGGUUCAGGAGCUCCUGCUGUUGUUCAACCUCCUCUGGCUUUGGCCGUCCGAGGUGUGUUACUGCCACAGCUGAGGUGGAAGUGCCACUGCGAGGACUUUCGUUGUCCUUGUUUUGUGAUGUUCUUAACUCCGUGACGUGGUGUGAAAGUUCCCCAUUCAUGGGUGUGAAAAUGCAUUCAGACUUGAUGCUAUCAGUCCCAGAAGUUAGAAGUACUGCUCGUUUCUCAUUGGAUAAGCAUAUAGACCACACAUUUCAUACCUGAAUGUCCUCUGCUAAGUUCAGGGGUUACUUGAAAUUAACGCUCAUUAUUCACUAGUAUUUGCACUAGUAAAGUACAAGUGCUCAAAUAUUUGCAGAAAGCAAAAGUGAAGCAGCUGUAAACAUGGCUGAAUUUGCUUCUGAAUUUUAAUGCAUAUUUGCAGAAUUUUGGUUUAGCUGUAAUGUGUGCGUGUCUAUGGUACAGAAAGCUUGUAAAUUCUGGUGCUUUACACUUCCCAGUGUGUAAACUGCAGCUAAGCCCGCUGGAUUUAACUUUUAUAUCCUUAGUUUAAAUGGAAAAAUACAGGCGAGUUUGAAAAAAACAAAAACAAAACCCUUAAAAAAUACACAGAGCAUCAGAAACUUUACAUAACCACAUCGAUUAGUGGUCUGUAACCUUCGCUGGUGAGUGGGUACUGAUGGAAUAGUGUGUGGUUAACUCUUUCAUCCCCAGCAGGAGCAACGUGAAGAUUGAAUCCCAGGAUCCACAGUUCAGGAUGAGGUCUGUAAGUCACUAUUUCUCCCUUUGGUUCCAGAGAAGUGAUUCUCUGAAUGGAAGUUAAGGAAUUUGUGACGGUCUUCAGGAAGGUUUGCCUUAGCCAGAUGUUGUAUUUGCAGUGUGAAAACAGGCUGUGUGGGAGAGCCAUGACUUGGAGUGGGGAAGGAGGAAUGUAUCAGGCUUAACACACAGCAUAUGCUCUCCUUGCAGAAUGGAUUGGGUGACUCUGGGUCUGUAUUGACUGCUUAAUCGUAGUGUUUCUAGUCUGGGGGUGGGUACACUGUUAGGUCAUGGUAACAGUGAUGAAUUUGAAGAGGAAGAGUGGCCAUUUAUUCAUCCUACUUUUCUCCCUCUCUCAAAGGAAGAGGAAGCAAUCAGGAUAGAUAGAGAGUUGUGCUUGGAAGCAGUGGAAGAAAGCUGGUAGUAUUCUAGAGAGAUGUGAGGAGCAGAACUCAGGAAAGAGUGUUGGAUUUCAAAGGAGAACAGGUUGAUAAGAGCUGUCAAGCUUGGCCAGGGCAAGCUGUGUGGGUACUGCUGGAUGAUGCUCUCCAGAGACAGAGUGUGGCAUUGGUCAGCCACCUUUCAGCAUCCUCAGUGCAGGGAAUUUCUGUUUAGUUUUGCUGUUUUCUUAAUCCCAAUGGACCAGGAGAUAUCUGGAUGACAACAGUUUCACAGGUUUCUAUGAAGGUCUUACAUCUGUUUUCCCAACACAUAAAAAAAGAUUUGCUCUUAUAUUUCUGCUCGGGGUUUCUGAUGCUCCCCUCUGCUGUCACUGCUUUUACAGAGCAAAAGUAGCCCAAGGAAUUUGGAAGAUGAUGGACACAGUGUGUACUGCAUGCUCCCACUGAGCUUAUGGACAGCCAGAAAAGCUGUAGAUGAAGUGGAAGAGUGAUGGUCUGCUGCCAAGAGCUGCAGCAUUGGAGAAUGUGUCUGUGGCAUUCAUGUGGUCAGAAAGUCAUACCAACUGUCUCCUCCCCAGACUCACAGAUUCUUCUCAGAAAGGGUCAUGUUUUCUGUUUUCCAGGCAUUUAAACACAUAGAAGGCAUUUUCUUGUUUCCUUGCUUUCCACAAUUCUGCAAGCAGAGUUUAUAUAUACAUACAUACAUAUAUAUAUAACCAUUUUUGAACUUACUGCGCUUUCCUUCUACCCCUUGAUCUUUAUUGUUUCAGUAGAUCCCUUUUCAUUCUGUUGUAUGCUGUAUAUUUUUUAGGUUUAGAAGCUGUACUUAAUUCUUAUUUCAGAAGAUGGCUCUUCUCAGAAUGAAAAGCAGAUUGCUAUGAAGGCAAUGAUUUGAUCCUUGUGGUUUGCUGUGAGCCUCGUAGCCUCUAGUGUAAACCUAUUGGAUCUUGUUUAACAGAGAAGCAGAGAAAGUACCACCCAUGCAAAUGCUGCUCAGAAACAUCUACCAGGGAGAAAAAAGCUUCUGUAAGUAAAAGUAUUGUAUGACCUCUCAUUAUUAAAACAGACACAGUGUAUUUGAGGGUAUAUUUAUACUGUGUUGAUUCUUAGAAGUUCCACUCAUUGACCAACAGCCACUCUUCUGGUUGUUGCAGUGUCAGGUGGGCACUGCCAUCCUGUUGUGCUCUCUUUAUGUGUGUUGCAAUCUUUAUUUUUUACUAAGGGAUUUACAAAAGCAGCUGACAUCCUGACAGAACCAGACAGUUCUAAAAUAUUACGGUUAAUAGAAAGUAACCAUAUUGUUCAUUGGGUCUGGAAAAAUAGAAAUUAGGAAAAUAAGGUCUUUCUAAUGAAUGUUUUGGAUUGUGUACAGUCCAUCAAGGUAUCUCCUAUUAGAUGAGAUGACCUCCAGUGAAGAUCUUAUCCCUUCACGAAUUUGGAAUAGUUAUGGUUGGACCGGAUAAGAAAAGAAUACCUUUCUAUCAGAGAGCCCAUAAUUGGUGGUACCCAAAAGUGGGCCAAAGGCUUUGGCAUAUAUCUGUGUUUUCUGCCCUCUUGAAAAAAUGCCCUAUUUUCUCAGGCUUGCUUUUACACUUGGUAAAAAUUCUCUUCUUUGACCUUAGGUUUACACAUCUCACAUUUUCCAGGUGCUUUCUCUGAUGAUAUUUUUAUUGGUGUAUUUGUGGUAAGUGUGUUCUUGAAUGUCCCACAGAGUCGGCCAGAUAUACAUUCUGUUACUGCUCUCAGUGCAGAUGAAAGCUUCAAAGAAAGGGUAAUUUUCAGUGCUGAAGGUAUUAUACUUAGAGCUGCAACAGCUGGGAGAUGCAUCUGAGGGGAGCACUUGCUCAUCCCACAGCAAACCUAUAGGUUUAAUCCUGAAUCCAUAUACACAGUUUUGAUAAGGAAGCUUAGGUAUUGGGUAGAGGAUAGGAAAUAAUAGUUGUUCCAGAAUGGUGUGGACAUAGGUCCUGUCCUGUGUAUUCCAAACCAGAAGUGUUUUUCCUGCACUGCCCAUCUCUGUCUGCAUGACUGAGUCUUAUUUGUUCUACUGGGAUCCCUCUUGUUCCUGUGCAGCUGUAGCUGUAAGAGCUGACAUUUGCUGAUGAGCCACUUCUAAUUCAAAAAUUAGAAGAUUAACAAUGAGAUAAUUCAGUUAUCACAUUUAUGUAUUUGUUUAUACUCUUCUCUCAUUCACUGUAAUUGUAUCAGUAUCUGCUGAAGGUUUCAGCAUCCCUACCCUCACUACUUUUCUGUCAAGGCAAUAUUUAUCUGCAGAGAAAGGUGUCAGUGAGAAAGCAGGAUUUCCUAUAUAUCUGAGGACAGACCUGUUUUGUGUGCUGCAUUUGAUGGUGGUCAGUCACGUGCCCAGAGACGGGUACAAAAGAGGUUAGCAAACAGUCGCUUUGCAGGCAUUUGUUGCUCAGGGGUUUUCUGAGGCAAUUAGCCUGCAGUAGUCAUUUGUUGCAUUUAUUUGUUGUUCCCAAUCAAGUAGGUUCUGGUAUAUGCCACAGUGUCUGGCGACACGUUUUUUUCUCUGUGCAACAUGUGAAGAACAACUUCUUGUUUGCUUUUUUUAACUUGCCACUCACUAAUUGCAUUGGAUGUAUUUUGGAUCAUGUUCCGACAAAGCCAAUAUCCUCUUUUUCUCCAUGCAACUUUUUGUUCAGUGGGACCGUGUCAACUUUUCCUCCAGCAUCUCUCUGCCUUCCCCACAUCUUAGUCACGCCAGGGACUUUGUACUGAUUUUUGAUGCUAUUUUUGGUGUGUGAUGUGAUAGUCCUAAUUUCUAGCUAAAGAGCAUCUACCAAUGAUUAUGUACAGUGUUCCUUAAAGUAACAAAAAAUCACUAGCGUGGCAUGUUCUGGUUUGCGUGUCUCCAUAUAUGAUGGAGAGCUUUGUUCAGAGUUCUGGCUGUAAAUUCAUACCAGUACCCUAAAUCCCCGCUAUCAGUGUCUUUGGGGUGAAACCCAGUCCUUGUGUCAGAAUAAUCCCUCCUCGCGCAAUCAUGUUGCCCUCUGUUGGUUAGCUUUGAUUCAGAAUGUUCCCAGGCUCGCUAAUUACCAGAGGGCUUAUUUAAAUUCCUGUGGAAGAGGCCUCAGUGUUUUACUCUGCAAUGCUCUGGUUCCUGUGCUGGCUGAGGGGUGCAUCCGUGCUUUCAGAGGAAAGGGUGGAAGCCUCUUUGUAGGUUGUGGUUGCAACCGUGUUCAUUUAUAAAGCUGGGUUUGAUUUCUCUUAACGAACGCACGUAUUAAGGUCUGGAAUUUGUCGGUGUCAAGGUCAGUUAUUGAGAAGUUUGCAUUGCCUUUUUUUGAAGAAUUGAUCUGAAAGCAGCUAGAAUCAGAACUUCUUUUCCUGUGGGUUCAAUGUUUAUGUGCACGUAGCUUCCCAGUGGAUUCACAGGGAUGCCUGGUAAAGCCAGAUGGCACAAAAAAAGCCUACAGAAAGAAAAGAAGGCAAAAAGAAUGCUAGUUGCAUAGGGAGACAUGAAAAACCUCUCCCUCUAAAUGCUGGAAAAUGGUUUUAUUAUAAACACAGAUACUCUGAUGAAUUGAAAGGUUGGUGAGGAAGGAAGAUGAGAAUUUUUGGGGGCAGCAGAACAUUUUUCUUGUUGACUGAUUAAUCUGGAACUGCUCUGAAUGCAAAUGGAUUUCUGGGAUCCUCCCGCUUUCUCAAAUACAUUCUGACUGCAUCUGACUGGUAAUGUGUUCAGGAUGAUUUUCUCAUAAGAUACAACUGAAGACCAAAGGUGAAGGAGGAAGACCGUGGCAGAGCUAGGACUAGCUUUCUUCUUUAGAGGGGUGAAUUGGAACGCUGGUCAGCAUGCUGCAGUGACUUGCAGACACGUUCAUCAAAGUCCUUGUACCUAAAUAGGCUAUGGAUGUGAGUAAUGCUUAUUUCUUCUCUGUUAUAAAAUGCUUGAGAUCUGUGGUUGGGAAACCAAGCAUGUAAGUGCAGUCUACUGUUAUUGAUAGGAAUGAGUUUCAGAUGGCACAGCUGAAAAUGUGUCCCCUACUUUUCCUGGGAUGCUCUAUGGAUCAGACUCUAAGCAAAAACCAAGAAACCUGCUUCAGUUGGCACAGAUACUUGAUAUAAUAUGAUGAUUGGUUAGAGAUACUACCUGAUGGUAGUAGGUAAUACAGCUAAAUAUUACUAAAUAAUAGUAAUAAUGUUAAUAAAUCCACUUACAUAAAAGAAAAUAAAUAAGAAAACCCUGAAAUAAUGAUAACAAAAUCUUAAUCUUUUUAUGCUUCCAGAAUGAAGACGAUGUGGUCUCUUGGCACAAGAAUUUAUGAAACAACCCAUAAAGACCCACGGUACAGCAAUCUAAGGAGCAAACUCAAGAUGUUUGAUUGAGCAAUGCGUGUGCAUUUAUUCACACCUGGAAAGAACAGCUUUCUGUGUCAUUACAUGCAGUGUGAGAAUUUCAUGUAUUGAUCUCUGUAUAUACAUCACCUGAGGUUCCUUUAUUCUCUUGGUAAAACUUGCCAGGUGUGAUGCUGUUUGGAGGUCCUUUCUGUACCAGAUGAGGCACUGAGUGUUGAAGCAAGCAUCCCUCCUGGCCUUGGUAAGCAGCAAUACCUCUGCAGAUACAUAGAGAAGUCAAAGGCUGCCUUCCUUCAUGUUGGAGUGAGGAAAGACAUCUGGUUCUUCUAUUACUUUUCAGUUGGCUCUUUGCUUUUAUUACUGCCUACUACAGAGGUAGCCAAAAAUUGGUGUUUAAUACAUUAAUGCAGAUGUUAAACCAAAAAUAGCUCCUGUUUUGCAUCUGAGGAUUUCAAUUUGGGGUCACCUGUGGGUGGAAGUGAAGCUACUUUUUAGUCACGUACAAUAGAACUCCUCAGUUGCUUACGGUUAAUGUGGACCUGAUAUGUACUUCCAACGCCCUGCCCUGUCUCUUUGAGCAGGCACAAAGACCUCAGUUUGUAAUGGAAACUGAUAACAUCAGUUACUGACAACUCUCAUUUGUUUGCAGUUUCGGGCCUUGUCUAGAGAUACAGUACUGCUGCCUAAAGCUGUUAAGCUUAACCAAAGCCAUGGAUGUGACUGUUAUUUGGCAGAUAAAAGGAGUGAAAGGAAGGAGAGAAGAUAGCAGUGUGGUGUCUUUUUACUUUCUUUACAGUCUGCUUAAAUUUCUCAUCUGCUGUAAACCUCAGACUGAAAUUCUGCAGCGUGGGGAUGCACUGAAGUAGUGCUGGAUAAUAACUUAAUAAAAUAGAAGUAACGAAAGGGGAAUAAAAUAGCUCCCAAACAGUUAAGAGUGGGAUUCUGGUUUGUGUUGGAUCCUUGUCCUGAAAGCUUGGAGUGCUCAGAUCCACCUGAAGGAUCAAAAGUGUCCUCAAGCCCUUAAAUAGAUGACUCGGAAAUAGCUGAAAUGUGUUUCAUUUUAUGGUAAGUUUAAUGUUUCCAAUCUCAGUGCAAUUUACAAUUACAAUAAAUAUCACCAAAAAAUUAAUGUGGCCACUUCAAAUACAAAGGAACGACAGAGUGUAAUCUGAGAAAAUUUUAUCAACAUGCAAUUUCCUUAACAAAAACACCAAUGUAUCAUUUCAGCAUGCUGAGAAAUAUUUAUCUUUUGGGACAGCAAAAUCAUUUGCAGAACGUUUUAACUGCUAAAUAAAUAUUUUACUGGCAACUUCUGAGGCAUCAUAAAUGCAGUCAAUAUAAACAAAGCAAUGUGGAAUCCAGCUCCGGUCUCAGCUGCAAUGACUGUUGGCCACUUCGUGGUAACACAGGGCUCUGGGAUGCAUUUGGCACAGUCUCAGCAUUUCAAAUAUCUGAUUUGUUGGGUUUUUUGUUUUUUUCCCCUGCUAUAUAAGCAAGUUUGCUUAGUUUAUCUGAAGGCUCUGGCAAUGGAAGGCAUGGCGAGCUUUCAGUAUUAGGGAUGCAACUGUUUAGCAUUUAACAGAAACUCGUCUUUUCACAGUUAAAUCACAUUUUUUUUUAAUUGAAUCCUGUGCUUAUGAAAAAUACUGGAUCUGCAGCCUCAGACUGUCUGCUUGGCUGCAGAACAAGAACAUCAUGGCCAUGCUUGCUUGAACUUCCUCGUGGGCCCCUGCCAACGUGCUUCACCUCUGACCUGUAGCUGAGUUUUUAAAUGUCUUUUUUAUCUGUAGUCUCUUCCCAGACCGCCCCACUGAAAUGGCACUUCUAAGGAUGAUUUCAGCAAGUUUCAUCUGUGCACUGGAAGCAGAAACUUGUUGCAUGGAGGCAGCUGAAGAAUUACUUAUUCAUUACCAUGAGCGUCACUGCAGUCUUUACUGUCAAGGACUGCCGGUCACAUUUCCUCACAUCAACUCUGGGACAGAGCUAUGAUUUGUUGUAUUGCUAUUGGCCAUUUUAAGUGAUAGCUACCUGACUAAGCUAGGUAAUAAUUGCCUAUUUGUCACUAUAGGUGCUCACUUUGUGUUAUUUGUGUCUAAUAUACAAUGGCAUUAUGCUCCUAUUGAAUAUUUAUUGAAAAGCACAUCAAAUAUUUGAAGGCCUAUAAAUGUGUUCAUCUUCUGAAUUUAUCAAAGGAUCUCUGUUGACAGUCAUUGGUUUCAGUGCUGUAGUGGUUUCUUGCCUGCUCUAAUGUGGUGUUCUACCUGUUUGUCAGACACUGCUGUUAAGCAAGUAACUGGUGAUAGCUGGAUAUCCUUCCAAGCUUAGGAAGAAGUUAUUGGCUGAAGCUGUUCUCCUUAUUAAUUUGACUCCUCAGAUUUAUGUGUCUGCAAAUGAUUUUCUUCUUAUCUCUGGCAGCUCCAGAAGAUAAUCCAGAAAUUAACUUUUCUUUGUAAAGAACUUCAUAGGAUGUUUUAGGAAAACGUGAAUAAGUAAAUGCUUAGUAGGUAGUUUGAGAUACCCUCAGCUCCUCUGGAUGCAAAGCAUUUACCACUGUGAUCUGACUUCUGUCAGUUCUCCAGGAGUGUUACUAUCUCUGCACAUUCAUCUCCUACUUCUAAAGAGAUCUUUUAGCACACAAAGCAGGAAAUGUAAGAAAACAGACAGGAUUUCCAAAGACAAGUUAGUCAUUUCACUGCAGAGUCUGGCCUUUGUUCCACGUCCAUAACAAGGCAGUGGUCUUUAAAACACGGUUGAAAAUUAGAGGAGAUGGCAUAAACGUUUGGUAAUUGCAGAAAGCCAGGGUAGUUCCUGCGUGGGCUGUUAGUGAGUGGCUGAAAACUGCUGCAGAAUGCAGUCUGUUGCUUGCUUAAUGCACCAUGAGCGUUCUCUGCAUAAGUAUCUUAAUUCACACAUCUAAAGGAACUCAGCCUGGGUUUAGCUGGGUACUUGUUAGCAACUUCUUCAGAAAUAAAGGGGUGGAAACUGUACCAUCAUCUGUGGCUGGAAGGUGAAGAUUUACUUAAAGCACUUUGGCUGAGGGGCAUCGAGAAAUGAGCACUGCUGCUGCCUGCAGGAGAGGACUCCAGCACUGCAGGGACACAGAACCUCAGGGAAGUCAUGCUGAGGAAAUGAUUCAUUUAACCUGCAGCUAUAUCGUUUGUAGAAGGUAAAGGCAAUAGGUGUGAAGAAAUGUUUGCUCAGAUCUGUGCUUUAUAUAGGUUCCAUCCUGGAUAACGUAUAUGAUAAUAUACUGAUAUGAGUAUAUCUCCUCUACAGCAUGCCAUGUUCUGACGUACUUGGGUGGCAUUUAGUGUACAGAUUACUCCUCCAUUCACAGACACGGACUUUCCCUAGGUUAUCCACGUGUUCUGUAUUACGUUUCAGGGCUCACAGUUCAAUCUUUUCAUAAAUAAAACUGUAGCCCUUUCUGGUAGCGAGAGAGGAAGCGAGGAAGAUUCCCUGCCCUUGAGGACCGAGCGUGGCUCUCAGUCCCCAGAAGGCUGGGAUUUUGAGCUGGCUAUUACCAAGUGUAAAAUGAAACACCUGUGUGCAGCAGCAUGCCAAGGCUGAGCCACCUGCAGCACACCUGCUAACUGCCUCACUGCAGUCGGGUCUGGGCAACGUGACAUCAUCUGAUUUCAUAUCUGUAAUUGAACAAAAGGUACGGGUUAUAGCUGAGCUCUUAUCCAAAAAAGAAGAGUUAACGCUGUAAAUACGCGUCUCUGUAAACAGAGAAACUUCUUUCCUGUUCUCAUUGAAUGGCAUGCUGUGAAACCAGAGUUGGCUGGAAACUUCUAGAAGCAGCUUGCUGGGGGCUGGGUUCGGCUGUGCCUCUGAAUGCCUCCGAGCAGGAAGCAGCUGGGUAACACUCCAGGUGAUUGCGCCCAUUGACUCCAUUUUCUCUCUCUAUUUGGAGUGUAGCAGUGGGUGAUACAUUUGCCUGCUGUCUGAGCUUAGUUCUCAAAGCUGGGAGCGGAGUUCACUUUGCCUCUGGAGCAGGACGUAACCCGGUCUCACACGAGGCACUGAAUGUCUACCACAGACUCGUGAGGUUUAGGUUUUUUAGCAGUGUAUCUGGAGGAUAGAAAUCUUCCAGUUUUUUAGCAGCUUUGAGGAGUAAGCAGUUCCCCCCCAGCGUGAUUAAAAACAUCAGAAGAAUGCUGCAUCAUAAAGCGAAGGAUGGAGGUACGUUUAUUUCACUUAUAAUGCAUCUUUCAGACGUGACUGGGAAAUACAUUCUCGUCUUCAGAAUUGGGUAUAAAAGCAGAGGCAGAAGUUUACUCAGUCCAAAAAUCCCUUUAAAUAGCCUACGUUGCUAAGGUUUUUUGGUAGUAACUGCAAUUUAAUCCUUGCUUAAAAGGGCUUUUUUUUUUCUUUGAUUAAUUGAACACACAGGAAGAAGCCGACAAUGCUGUUCCUCCCAAAAAGAAACAGCUAUUUUUAGGGGUUUGCUUAAAUUUUAGGUUGCUUUGUUCCUGUUAAAUCUCAGCCUUGACUUUGGCAAAAAAUCCUGUGUUAAAAGCACGCUCUGAAGUCCGGGGUCUCCAGCAGGGCUCGGAAUGAUGCACGUGCUUCAGGGCUUGGCUGAAUCCAUUUUAAGGAUGUGUUUUACAGACUUGAGGCUAGCAGUGCUUGGUAGACGAUGACCAAGAUUCUUGCCUUUACAGGGCGUAGGGUGGGGUUUAGAGCCAGCUCUGCCUUAAUAAUAAAGGGUUGGGUAAUAUUAGGCUUAACUGGUAAUGCUAGGUAUUACCCAAUUAAUAUUGGAUUUAAUGAAAACUACUGAAUAGGGCAUUCUAAUAAUUGUACCUAACUGAAUGCUCUUCUUGUUGUUUCAGAUAAUUUAGGGGUUAAUGCUUAUUGUGAGCACAUUAUUGUAAGGGUUUUUUAAAGAAAUGUUUUUUUUUUCUUGUCUUAACAUCUUGAGUUUCAACUGUUCUUUUCCUUUCAUGCUAUCAUUAUCCAGCAGGACUAGAAAUAGGUGCAGACAAUGAGAUGUACAUGUGCACACAGGUUAGCUGCUAUAUUGUUAUGUAGCCUUCUGACUGCGGCUUCUGAGAAUCAAGCUGACGGAGCUCCACAUAUUUUCCCCUUGAAACAGACUGUUUGUAAAGCUGCAGAGAAUGGUGAAUAAUUUGCACCAAUUAAAAAUGACAGUUCUGCCUGUUCCCUUAAUCCAGGGAGCACUGUUGUGCUGAUCUUCUGAUACUUCCAGGCUUUGGGUUGUUUUUGUUUUUUUUUUUUUGCCCUUUUCCUUUCUUUUAUUAUGCAUAGGUUGAUACCUGUUAACUGCGUCUCCCUGCAAAAUAAUAAUAAUAAAUACAUAUAUAUAUACACAUUCCUGUUGGUUUUUGCGGAGUAGAGUCCUUAGAUUUUCUUUCUUUCUUUUUUUAGUUUUGCUGUUGUUGUACUCUCCAGUAUUGGCUGGUCAACCACAACACCAAUAAGUGGUGCAGAACUCUGCUUCUGUGGGUAUGAUGCCAAAAGCAGCCAACUUGGUGCCUUACAUAGGGAUUAGUUAAGCUUGUUAGAGAUGUUUGUGCAAAUGGGACUUUUGGGUCUUGUAGAGACUUACCAAAAUGGUGGCCUAAUUAUGAACUGUUUCCAUUUUCAAGAUCACGUUUUCUGAAAUGAAGUGAAGGAAUAGCGGAGCUGAAGAUGAAAGAUAUGGAGAUGUGCAAACUGAUGUGUUGGUUAUUUAUAGGGAGAUCUUUAGUGUUUGCGAACUGGAACAAAAAAGGCGUAGCAUUUGCAUGUACCCUUUGUUGCAAGCACAUUGUUUAUGCAGAAGAAAAUGGUCUGUGUUUGUCUUUGUUAAGGUUGAUGUUGCUAUUAAGAUUUCAAGAGUGACCACUGAAAAAAAAGAGAAUUUAGAAAGUAAGAGGAACAUAUGGGACACCUGUCUUUGGAAGUAUUGGCUCAUAGGCAGGCCUGCUCUUUGGCCAUGGCAACAAGCAACUUGACAGAAGUUUGAUUUCUUUCCAAAAUCCCUCUUUGCUGCAAUGAAAUAUUGCUGUUUUCUUAUUUUUCAACCUCUGUUUUACGGAAACAAGACCUACACGAGCGCAUUGUCUAUCAGCCUUUCUAAUUCAUGCCAGUUCCAGCACCUUUUGAGAAGCCAUUAACCACUGUGGCUGUGUGAGCAUGUAGUGAACUUGCUGGUAAGCUCUGUUCCCAUUGAAACCGGGGCAAAGUAGAAUUGCAGAAGAAUACAGAACAGAAAGCCACAGGAAACCAAACUUCAUUAGGUUAUUGACCAACUGGAGGGUCUGCUUUUUUUUACUUUUCUUUUGUGUGUGAGGAUGGUAGAAUUAAGAAGGAAGAGAAUUUGUUUUCCCAUCUGUUUCCUCUAGCUCCAAAUUUCUCUCUUUGUUUCUAGUCAGAAAAUACCAAAUUCAUUAAAAUAACUCUGUGUAUGUGGGACUGAAUUUCUGAACUGUGUGACUUGGUACAUGUUGCCCAAUUGUCUUUUCUAUUAGUUAUGAAACCAAACACACCAAAAAACAACAGCAAACAAAAAAGAAAAACACACACACAAAAAAAACCUGAAACCCCCCAAAGUCCCAAACCAAUCAUCAUAAUGCUCAAGGUAAAAGAUAACCGACAGGUAGCAUAGAUAACAGGUAGUAUUGUGACCGUUCUUGGAGAUGAGAACUUUCUACUUCAUUUUGAUAUUACAGAUUGUAACAUGAAGAAGUAUGAUUAAUCAAAUUGGGAAAACUUUCAAAAGUUGCACAGGAUGAAAGGAAGCAGCAGCUUGAUUUCUAUUCUAAAAUACAUCCAUUAUAUUUCCAUGCUCUGUUUAGCUGUUGACUUUCAGGCUUCAGAUAAAACCUGCAGUUUUACCUAACAGUUUUACCCAGCAGCUGAUUGUUAAGUGGCAGAGAUCGAACAUAUAGUUCCCAUUGCUUGCAGAAGCCAGUAGGAUUGGUAAAUGACACGUUUUGCUGCACCAAUUCAACAUUUGUAUGUAAAAAAUAAUGUCACCUGCACUGGCACUACGUUACUGGAAGUGCUAAGGCAGGAGGGGAUCAACGACUGAGUUGGUUUGUGCAAGUAUGAGUUUAAAUCACCUUGUGUGUCAGGUUGGUUAACACGUCGUGUUUUCUGGCUGAUAUAUUCCAAGCCUUACACUUCAAACAUUGUAUUUAUCAACCCUUUAUUAAAUAUACAAAACAAGACCGCUCUCGCCAAAGUCUGUCACAACCCAUUUUGUUGUCGCUGUGCAUUUUGGUAUAUGUGGAGGAAUGAGAGCCCAAGCCGCAAAGUCAGCUUGUUUUAGCCUCAAUGGCUUUUUAAAAACCCUGCAGCUUAAAAUAAUACAUUAUUAAGGCAUUCAGACUUGUCAAAAUUAAUAAUUAAUAUCCCAUUUAUGUUCCCCACGCAUACACAGAGUCUUUCAUUCAGUUCAGUUGCUGCACCAAGGCAGUGCUAUCUGUACUGCAGCCAAGUGGCUGCACAUUGCAGCCUUUUCACAUGGCACAAGUGCAUCUGGGAGCUUGGGUUGUCAGCUCAGGGCUCCUGUCUUCUGAAUCCCUAACGUACAGAUGUGUUUCCUUACAGAAGGUUAUAUAACAUCAGUCUUCAGUUGCUGCUUUGUAAGUUAUCUCAGUUUGUAUGUGAUCCGAUAGCCUAAUAUUAAUAUUAUUAAUGACAGUUUUAAGAGUUUUAUAAACAGUGUUUGAUCCUGGGGGAACUUGCUUCUUGUGAUAAGGGGGUCAUUUAACAGGUGGUUAUGGAUGUUAUUCAGACUUAUUGUAAGACUAUAGGACUAUUCUAAUAACAUACUUACGAAGCAUCAAAUUGUGUCUUCUGUUAGAAGACCACAGAGACCACGUCUUGCAGAACUAUUUCAGUUUCUGAAGUCAGUGCUCAGUGUGUACAGAGCCCAGAAAUUGCACUGGGAAUGACAGAAACCUCAGCAAGAAUAAGGUAAACAGUUCAGACUAAGGAUUGCCAAAGACAGCAGAAGAAUGGGCCUGGGCUCUGCGUCUGAGUUACCAUGUAGGCAGCACUUAAAAACCAACCAACCAACAAAAUCCACCAAAAAAACCAGCAAGAAAUAAAACCCAAACAAACAAACAAAAACCUGUACAAAAUCCCAACCAAUCAACUGGAAAACCCUCAAAAAUAAUAAUAAUAAAAAAAGAGGAGUUAAGUUUUUGUAUCAGCAUAGUAAUUAAGCAGAACGGGUAGGAUUAACAGUUGAUGGGAUAUUCUCAAUACCUUUAUUUUUAUUUUCAAGAAUAUGCAUUACUAAUUUAUCCAUCAUUUAAAACUGUAGAUGCAUUUGAGUAGUUUUCAAAUAAAUAGAACCUAUUAUUUGGCUUUUUGCAAUGUUCUUCUCCCUUGAGAUGCCAUGAACAUUUCCAUGUGUUUGACUUUUUUUUGGGUUUGUUUUUCCUGGGAGUUAAAAUAUAUACAUAUAUAUGGGGAACAAUGCAAAGAG
rnacentral:lncRNA from 1 species